rnacentral:rRNA from 1 species
AACGAACGCUGGCGGCAUGCCUAACACAUGCAAGUCGAACGAGACCUUCGGGUCUUGUGUCGCACGGGUGCGUAACGCGUGGGAACCUGCCCUUAGGUUCGGAAUAACUCCCCGACAGGGGUGCUAAUACCGGAUAAUGUCUUCGGACCAAAGAUUUAUCGCCUUUGGAUGGGCCCGCGUUGGAUUAGCUAGUUGGUAGGGUAAAAGCCUACCAAGGCGACGAUCCAUAGCUGGUCUGAGAGGAUGAUCAGCCACACUGGGACUGAGACACGGCCCAGACUCCUACGGGAGGCAGCAGUGGGGAAUAGUGGACAAUGGGCGAAAGCCUGAUCCAGCAAUGCCGCGUGAGUGAUGAAGGCCUUAGGGUUGUAAAGCGCUUGUACCCGGGAUGAUAAUGACAGUACCGGGAGAAUAAGCUCCGGCUAACUCCGUG